GAUGAACGCUAGCGGCAGGCUUAACACAUGCAAGUCGAGGGGCAGCAUGAGGGUUAGCAAUAACCUUUGAUGGCGACCGGCGCAAGGGUGCGUAACGCGUGAGCAACUUGCCCGUUUCUGGGGAAUAACCGGUGGAAACGCCGACUAAUACCCCAUAGCAUUGAUUUCAGGCAUCUGUUAUCAAUUAAAGAAUUUCGGAAACGGAUAGGCUCGCGUGACAUUAGCUAGAUGGCGGGGUAACGGCCCACCAUGGCUACGAUGUCUAGGGGUUCUGAGAGGAAGGUCCCCCANACUGGAACUGAGACACGGUCCAGACUCCUACGGGAGGCAGCAGUGAGGAAUAUUGGGU
rnacentral:rRNA from 1 species